UACGUAGGGAGGCAAGCGUUGUCCGGAAUUACUGGGUGUAAAGCGCGUGUAGGCGGCAGGCCAAGUCUGUGGUGAAAGUCGCUCGGCUCAACUGGGCGGGGUCUAUGGAAACUGGUCAGCUGGAGGACGGUAGAGGUGAGUGGAAUUCCCGGUGUAGUGGUGAAAUGCGUAGAGAUCGGGAGGAACACCCGUGGCGAAGGCGGCUCACUGGGCCGGUCCUGACGCUGAGACGCGAAGGCGUGGGGAGCGAACGGG
rnacentral:rRNA from 1 species